CGAAGGGGGCUAGCGUUGCUCGGAAUUACUGGGCGUAAAGGGCGCGUAGGCGGCACUGUUAGUCAGGCGUGAAAUUCCUGGGCUCAACCUGGGGACUGCGCUUGAUACGGCAGAGCUAGAGGAUGGAAGAGGCUCGCGGAAUUCCCAGUGUAGAGGUGAAAUUCGUAGAUAUUGGGAAGAACACCGGUGGCGAAGGCGGCGAGCUGGUCCAUUACUGACGCUGAGGCGCGACAGCGUGGGGAGCAAACAGGAUUAGAUACCCUGGUAGUCCACGCCGUAAACGAUGUGCGCUGGAUGUUGGGUGGCCUAGCCACUCAGUGUCGUAGCUAACGCGGUAAGCGCACCGCCUGGGGAGUACGGCCGCAAGGUUG
rnacentral:rRNA from 1 species